GCUAAGAUCAAGUGUAGUAUCUGUUCUUAUCAGUUUAAUAUCUGAUAUGUGGGCCAUUGGUCCACACGAUAUUAAAUUUAUUUUUUGAGGUGGAAAGUCCAUCAAGGUAGCUUGCUAUCUGGGCUUUCAAGAGUCGCCUAUGCGUUGCACUAUUGCACAGGCCUGGCUCACCCCACCAAUUUUAGUCUAAUCUUUUAUGAAACAAUGCCUAAUAGUUGUGAUGUUGUCUCGUUGAAUUUGUAUAAUUUUACUGGGGGAGAAGAAUGAAGGGCUAAAUAUUUAUAAACCAAUAUGGAUGGAUCUCCAAAAAGUGAGCACAUUGGCCCAAUAAUGGGACUACUAUUAAAUGAGAAAUGGGCCUGAUACAUUAAGAUGCCCAAAGAGAUGUUGCAUAUUUAAGGCAAAUUUUUUAUUUUUCAAAGGCCAUGUCAUGCACAACUUGAACUCGAGAUUGUUAGCAUCAAACAUUGAUCAUUCUAACACGCACACAACAUCAUCGACCUGUUUAGUGUGAUCACAACAAUCCCCUUAGUUAUAGUAUAUCUUAAUUUUGGCGUCCCAUUUUAUAUAUCUUCACUUUUUUUUUCUUCUUUGGUUUCCAAUUUUUUCUUGAAUUUUAAUUUCUAAUGUUUUAGUAUCAAUCUAUUCUUGAGAUUAUUAAUCCAUUUUCACAUCUAUUCUAGAAUUUCAUAAUUAAUAUCAUUACUAUGUUAACUCUUUGGAUGCUAUUGUAUGUGCAUAUUGUUGUUUUCCAUAUGUCCUUUUAUAAUUAAGAUCGGUUGUCGUCUCCUGCAAACACCUCCGGUGAGUCUGAUGUAACUUAAUACUCCUUCAUGUAUCUCUCAGCUAUAUGUUUACUGUUUAGUGAGAUUUUACAGUGAAGGACUCAAUCAUAAAAAGUAAAUGCUCUACUAUACACAGAUACACUUACAGAUUUUCCCGUUUGACAGAUGACAAUGAUUCACAGCACUGAAAAACCACAAUGAUAAGGUGUAAAAACUAAAAGUAAGACCUCCUUUUGCUGCAUCAAAGUCUUUUUAGACUCCCAAUAUUUCUCGCUCUUCUGAAGUCCAUGUUCGUCGUUUCUGGCAUGACGUUGAACUACAUGUUCCUGCUAUGUUAAUGGCAAUAGACUUAGUUUGAUUUGGAGUCAGUAAUAGGUUGCUGUAAAAUGCCAUUAAGUUAGGGAGCCGGAGCUUGCUUUUAUUAUAACAACUUUCAUGUAAACUCUGACUUCUUCAGGACAUGGAUGAUACCAUGUUGGGUUGUUUU